GGGGGGGAGGUGAGUAUGUCUGGGAACUGCCUGAUGGAGGGGGAUAACUACUGGAAACGGUAGCUAAUACCGCAUAACGUCGCAAGACCAAAGAGGGGGACCUUCGGGCCUCUUGCCAUCGGAUGUGCCCAGAUGGGAUUAGCUAGUAGGUGGGGUAACGGCUCACCUAGGCGACGAUCCCUAGCUGGUCUGAGAGGAUGACCAGCCACACUGGAACUGAGACACGGUCCAGACUCCUACGGGAGGCAGCAGUGGGGAAUAUUGCACAAUGGGCGCAAGCCUGAUGCAGCCAUGCCGCGUGUAUGAAGAAGGCCUUCGGGUUGUAAAGUACUUUCAGCGGGGAGGAAGGGAGUAAAGUUAAUACCUUUGCUCAUUGACGUUACCCGCAGAAGAAGCACCGGCUAACUCCGUGCCAGCAGCCGCGGUAAUACGGAGGGUGCAAGCGUUAAUCGGAAUUACUGGGCGUAAAGCGCACGCAGGCGGUUUGUUAAGUCAGAUGUGAAACCC
rnacentral:rRNA from 1 species